CCGACUGUAGUCGUGAUGGAGGCGGGCGACUUUCUGGACUCGCUCAUUUACGGAGCAUGCGUGAUCUUCACCCUUGGCAUGUUCUCCGCCGGCCUCUCGGACCUCAGGCACAUGCGAAUGACCCGGAGUGUGGACAACGUCCAGUUCCUGCCCUUUCUUACCACGGAAGUCAAGUGAGGGGGCGACGGCUGCGGUAGUGGGAAAGGCUACCAGAGGGAGGUGGGGGCGGGGCAGGAGGAGCAAGAGUGAAAGAGGCUUGGCCGGGCGCGGUGGCUCACGCCUGUAAUCCCUGCACUUUGGGAGGCCGAGACGGGCGGAUCACGAGAUCAGGAGAUCCAGACCAUCCUGGCUAACACGGUGAAACCCCGUCUCUACUAAAAAUACAAAAAAUUAGCCGGGCGUGGUGCCGGGCGCCUGUAGUCCCAGCUACUCGGGAGGCUGAGGCAGGAGAAUGGCGUGAACCCAGGAGGCGGAGCUUGCAGUGAGCCGAGAUCGCGCCACCGCACUCCAGCCUGGGCGACAGAGCGAGACUACGUCUCAAAAAAAAAAAAAAGAGUGAAAGACCCUUUGGGUCCUCCUCUCUCACUGAACCCUUUAAGCCAUGUCCAUCCCCUCCACCCUGCAGCAACCUGGGCUGGCUGAGUUAUGGGGCUUUGAAGGGAGACGGGAUCCUCAUCGUCGUCAACACAGUGGGUGCUGCGCUUCAGACCCUGUAUAUCUUGGCAUAUCUGCAUUACUGCCCUCGGAAGGUAGAGGCCCUCCCUUGGACCCACCCAUCUGCUGCACGCCCUGCCUUGGUGGCAGGGCAAACACUAUUUCCUAGAAGACUGUAACAGCUGGCACUGCCACCCUUUCCAGGAAGGCCUCUCCAGCCUUGCAGGUCCCCUUCCUCUAUGAAGCCAGCCUUCUGAGAUGAACACAUUGCCCCC
rnacentral:sRNA from 1 species